ACAGCUCAGAGCCAACCCUUGCACACACACACUGGUUUCAACUCCAUCGUCCAGUGCGGUCGAACAAAUUAGACGCUCCGCUAAAAAAGUACUGAUCUACGAAAAGAUUCGCAGAAUGGCAGCAGUUUCCCAGAAGUGGUACCAGACGUCGAUGGAAAGUUUCAUGAACAGAGUGGCGAUUGUCAGCGUGUCCACUUACAGGGACCGAUACCUGGAGGAGAUGAAGAAAAAUGGGGACCAGACGCCGAAGGCUGGGCUGAAUGGACAAGUCAAGGGCAGCCGUCAAAAUCCAUCAAAAACAUGCCAAAAGUGAAAACCAAUUAAUCGAACAAGGAUUACAGCACAUUGGGAUAUUUUGAAGAUCGAUAAGCACCUGUGAAAUGAAAUGAAAUGAAACGAGCUAGCUUGUGCAAGGAUUAAAACAAAGCACUUUAUUUUUAGAUCUGCUGAAUCCUGAAAUAUUAAUGUUGUUGCCAAGAUUUCUCAAAAUUUGUUAAUGAUGACCUUCAUUUUGCCUUUGAAAGGAAGUUCACUACUUUGUUAAAGAUUUAUAAUUUUUGCUUAUAAAUUUUUCUAUUAAACAGUUAAAUUGAUGCAGU